rnacentral:sRNA from 1 species
UCAGCCUAAAUUAACAAUGGCGAAAUGCAGGCGAAAUGUGGAAAAUUUCCUAGAAGCUUGCAGAAAAAUUGGUGUACCUCAGGAGCAAUUAUGUUUGCCUCUCCACAUUUUAGAAGAGAAAGGUUUGAGCCAGGUUGCAGUGACGGUCCAGGCUCUCCUGGAACUUGCCCCACCCAAGCAACAGCAGCACCAGUUAUCUGCUGUUUGAGGAUCCCCAGGACGGUGGG